GCAUUGCAUCUAUUAUUAGGCCCAUAAGCAGGAACUGCGGUGUCAUUGGCAAAUGUUGGCCAUAACCCAUGGAUGGUAAAGAAAGUAGGUAAUGGAGUCGUACAGUUGGAGAGUGGAUAACAUGCAGAACUUGGCCAUAUCAGACUCAGUUUAUAAAAUUCAAAAUCAGAGCCCUGAGCUGACACCACCAAGCUUGCUAACACAAGUAAAGAAUAACCUAUAAAUUGCUUAAUACCCAUUUUUCUUACAACACUCAACUCAAUGAAGAAGAAGAAGAAGAAGGAGAUUUGAUAUUAUUUUCUUGAAAGUAAACUAGGGUUGCAAUAUUGCAUGCCAUCACCAUUCCCAUGCUAGGGUUUUUAUACCAACUUUCAAGGUUAUUUUAGGAAAAACCAAAUGAUAUAAUAAUAUGAAUAUAAAAGGGACCAUAUGGUUUUUAUCUUUUUGGCAUGUUGGAAUUUAUUAAUAUCUUUGUCUUAUUGUGGACUAUAUAUUAUAUAUAGUCACAUUUUUGUUGUGUUGAACUUACGUGGAGGUGAUAAAUCUAUUCCUACUCACAUUAUAUAUUAUAAUUAAAUAAUUAUGAUUAUUUGGUAUAAUGACAUUUAGAGAAGUAAAUGAGAAAUUGGUAUUCCUAAUUACUCGAGUUUGACUUAAAUUCGAACUCAAUUUAGUAAUUAUUAAGCUGAGGGCAAGCUCAAGCAGCUUGGGCUAUCAAUUAAGUCGAAUUUGAGCUUAGUAAUAUUCAACUCAAAUGGCUCGCGAGCCUUAUCGAGCUUUUCAUCUUUUUGUAUUUUUUUUUUGUAGAAAAAUAGAGCCAAUUACAAUCAACUAGAGACAACAUUAGAAUUAGAUGGUAUAGAAGUAUUAUCUAAUCGGAUCUGAUUAGCAACUCUAGUAGGGGCAACAUCAAACACACGGGGCACAAACAGAAACUCUUUCAUUAGACCAGCCAGGAUAUAGGGGGCAAAGUUCGCUUAUCUUGGAAUCUGCUUAAUGACCACCAGCCAAUCACGUAUAUAUAUUAUUAAUCCUAAGUUCAAUUAUCGAGUUGAGCUCAAGUUCGAGUUCGAGGUUGGGUGCAAAAAUUGGUAAAUGAGAUUAAUUGAGCUUGUGCUCCAGUAGCUCGAUUAUAUCUCAAGCCAAACUUGAGCUUAGAAAUAGAUGUUCGAUCGAGCUUGAGUCAAGUAUCGAGCUCCAAAUUCUGAAUGAAGUGCUCGAGCUUGACAAUAAUCAAGUUCGACUCGGCUCGUUUACACCCGUACAAGUAAGAGCCUUGGCUCUUCUCAACUAAAUGGGUAAUUUUCCUUUUAGUCCCUCCCACAAUUAUAAUAUUUAAUUUGAGUUUUUUUAGCUUUGGUUAAAUGAAAAAAAUUGCAUUUUAAACCCUUUUCGGUUUCAAAUCUUUUUUAUAAUUUCAUCUCAAUCCACCCUUAUCUCUAAACAAAAUUUUGGAAGAAUGUAUAGCUUUAAGAUAAUUAUUGAUGCCCGGGAUUUAGAUGUUUGCAAAUAAUCCAAACUCUUUUCUUCUUCGAUUCUAACAUUACAUAAGCAAGUACUCUAAUUACUAUCCAUAAUAAAUUCGAAGUGGAUGCCUAUAUAAGCAAAGGUGUUUAUAAGUUAAAUCGAGUUUAUGUAUAAUAUAUUUCAUGUUUACCUAAGUUAAUCCAAUUUGAAAUAAAAGUAAUAAAUUUUGCUCAAAUCUGUUUAUAUUUAUAAAUUAUUAAUUCAAGCUUGUUUUAGUCUCAUCUAUGUUAUUUUAAUUUUUUUACAAACUUUUUUUAAUUUUUAAUUCAAUAUGAUUUUUUUCUUUUAUUAAAAUUUUAAAUAUGUAUAGCUUGACAUAGUUUAAUUUUUAAUGUUUACAUUAUAAUAUUGUAUCUUUUUUUAUAUACAAUAUUCGGGAUAGGAGAUGAGGGACACACAAAUUGAACCUAUGGCAAACAGGUGUCUCUAACAAGAGCUUUAAUCACCAUUAUAUUCAAGUCAAGACAAUAUUGUAUCUUAUUGUAGAAUUAAUUUUUGCGUGGUAUAUAAAUUACAGUAUACAUUAAAAUUAAUGACAAUAUAUUGCAUAAUCAAAAUAUAGAUCAAAUUGGUUGGAAUUUGAAUGUUGGAACUUAAACUCGAUUUAUAUUUUAUAUGAGUCUAAUUUUUAUUUAUUUAAACCCAUCUCUCCCGAAUAUUAUGCAAGUAAUGACAGGGCUACUAAGAGAUCCAGGGGGCAUGGCCCCAAAAAAUAGAAGUAGGCCCCUCCAAUAUUUUUAUAGUAUUAAAAAUAAUAUUAAAAAAAUUAUUCUUGAUAGAAACAAAGAGAAAAUAUUCUUGCAGAAAUCAAAUUUGGGAGUAAAAAAUGAAAUUUCCUCGGUUUCUUUCAUAUUUUUUUCAUCCUUUAUUUGUCUUACUUUCUUGACUAUUGCAGAGUGAAUACAAGUUUUGAGCUUUGCAGGGUCUCGAUAUUGGCAUUUUCAUCAGUCAAGCCGUCAAGGGAUAUACCCUCAACCUACCAGUGUGCCAUCUCUUAAUGAGAAAGGGGUAUUUAGAUGUCUCGAUAGGUUAGUAGAGGAAAUUUGGAAAUCAAUUUGUAUGUAAAAGUUUAAUAUUUUUGAGAUGCUAUUGUCAUGAAUUAGUGAAACAACUGAUUUGUAGUUUGCAUGCAUGUUGCAGCAUUUAUGUAUGCUACUCAAUCUUAGUUUCAUUACCGCAUUGAAUCGAUUACUUAUUGUUUUGACUCGACUCUUUGUUGUUUGAAUCGAUUCAUUAUUGUUUUAAAUCAAUUAUUUUUUGUUUAACUUGAUUCAAACUCCAACAAUUAUAGUUUCAUUUAUUCUUUUAUGUUUUUCUCAUUGUUGAAUUGGAUCUAUAUAUAUCUAAAAAUAUAUCGGAGAACAAAAUUUUUAUCUAACUUUUUUAGUGAAAUUAACAUAUAUAGUAUGUUAUAGAAAAAAUUUAUGUAAGACAUCUAAUUUUAACUAGGCUCUCCCGAUAUUACCAUCCUGACUUCGCCACUGCAUAAAAGAUUUUGAGGUUAAACAAUCCAAUCCGUAAACAAAUAAGUUGUAAAUAAUAAUAAUAAUAAGUGCCACGUUUUUGUGGUUAAACAGUUUUGGAUGACGACAUAAGCACAAUUUUGUUGUGUUUACUUACAUGUGAUGAUAAAUCUCGGAAAGGAUAGUACGAAUUCACAUACUUACAAAAAUAUCCGAUCAAAUUUAAGGGUAAAUUAUGGAGUUGGUUAUCUAAUAUUCAUAAAAUUUCAUUUUAGGCAUUAAAAAUAAAAAUAAAAAUUACAAAGGGGCAUCGUUGUUAACAAUCCUUUCCAUUUUAGUUAUCCAACUUUAAUAAGUUUUCAUUUUGAUCAAUUAUUUACCUUUUAAAAAUUAAUUUUGUUUUUCUCCAAAAAAUAAACUAUGUUUUUACAAGAAAUUGAAUUAUCCAACUGUAGAGAUGAAACCAAAAUUUUUCCUUGUAACUCAAUUAUUGGUAAAUAAACAGGUUUUCUCCUAAGGAAACCCGUGUUUUUCAGUAUUUAUUGGGAAAAACCUAAAACUUAAUUCUAAAAAGGAAAUAAGAAAAGAAAAGAAAAAGGUAAAAUGGUUUUUCCUUGUAAAAAGCCCCAAGUAAUUUUUCAUAAAACUCCAAGUUUUCUUUUUUUUUUUACCUAAAUUAAUUCUAAAAAAAUUAAAGUUAAAAAAUAAAUAGGGUUUUCGUGUAAAAACCCAGAUAAUUUCAUGCAAAAUCUUGUGUUUUUACUUUUUACCAGAAAAACUAAAAUUAAAUUCAAAAAAAGGGAAAAAGAAUAAAGGAAAUCAAAAAGAUAAAAUGGUUUUUCCUGUAAAGAUCCAAGUUUUUCUAUAAAAUCCCAUGUUUUUUCUUUUACUGAAAAAAUUAAAAUUAAUUCUAAAAAAGGAAUAAAAUUAAUUUUUAAAAAUAUAAAAUUAGUGACCAAAAUAAAAACUUAUUUAAGUUGGGUGACUAAAUUGAGUGCACCAUAACAUUGAAUUAACAAUGAGUAACCAAAAUAAAAACUUAUUAAAAUUAGAUGAUUAAAAUAAAAAAUAAUUGAUAACAGCAAUUUUCAGUUUUUUUUUUGUCCUCCAAAUGAAAAUUUAUAAAAAUUAAGUGAUCAACUAUGGAAUUUACCUUAAAUUUAAAUAUUUUAAUUAUUAUUCAUACUAUAAAAUGAAUUUGAAUGUAAACUAUAUCCAGGAUAUAAUUAUGGACUACAUUUUUGUCGAAUUGUGCAUAUUUACAUUUAUCUUAUGUUCAACUUACAUGUGAUGCAUGCCAAAACUCCUAGUAAUUGUGAACUUGAAUACGGCAUAAUUAUUUAGAUUUAUGGGCACGUGGUACGAUAUUGAUUGUCAAAAUUUUUGUACUACUCCUUGUUCUCGCAUUAAGAGUACGAUUAGGGAUGAAAUCGGUUAUGUUAUCAUCGGCCCAAGAUUUGAAUGGGUUCGGGUUGGAUGAAUCGGUUUUUACUGAAUUCGUGCAUUGAUCAUGUAAAUUGAAUUCACAGUAUGAGCAUUUAUGUUUUCAUGCAAAAUCACACAUGAGAUUGUAUAAACAUGUGUUAAGUCUAGAGUAGGAUACAUGGUUAUAUGCAUAGAACCUACCUAGUACGUUAUAUCAAUAAACGGUACACUUAUCAUAUAAAUAGGCAAAUACCACCAUCCAAGGGAGAUAGAGAAAACACUCAACAAAAUCAAAAAUCUUUUUAGGGAUCGAAAUUAAGUUAUAUAAUUUUAUGAGAGUUAAAAUGUAAUUUCAUGAUUAUAUUAACUUUUAUUUUUAUGAUUUUUAAAAAGAAUAAUUCAAAAUUUUAGCAUUUUGGGGUUAAACUUAUAUUUUACUUUAUGUUAAUUUAAAAUUUUAUAAAUUUUGAGGGAUUAAAACAAUAAUUUUCUAUUUUAAGGGACUACCCUGAGUAGAAUUCUAGCUUGGAAUUGCAAUCUUUUACAAACCAUUACCAAAUUAUUAUUAUCCCUUAUAAUAGCAACUCCACUAAAGCAGUUCUUUUCUCUACUUUCUACAAGUGUUAAGGAGAGGUUUCAAAUAAUGCCCGUCUUUUCUAAUAAUAAUAAUCGAACUAUUUAUCAAUUCAAGUGUGGGGUGUGCUUUAUAUUUAUCAGACAGUUUGCAAGCACUUAAUAAAGGUAGAGGCAAAAUAGGCACGACGUGGAGGACAUCUGUAGCGACGUAAAAAUUUAAUUUUUUAGCUUGGCCGCUAAUUGUGGCGAUUUAGUGAAAACUUGAAAACUGAAGUUUGAUUUUAAAAUAAAGAGGGAGUCGCCACCGAUCUUUUUUCUAGGUGUGAUCAGACACCUAAUAAAAUCAUCUUUUUGAAAAGAAAAUUUAUUCUCGAACAAAAAUGAAGAUCAAAUUUGGGUCUACGUGAAAAUCAAAGUAAAGUAGGGUUCGGGAGUCUGUUACGCGCGAGGAAGGUAUUAGCACCCUCGCGAGGCCCAAAAUUGGUAUCUUGUAAAACACCUGUUGUCUUGAUUUUCAAAAAUACGAGUUCAAUAUAAGAUUUAAUCGUGAUCCGAUUGAAAAGACGAGAAAUUUUAAAUUUUGAUUUAUUAGAAGGGCAUUCCGUUUUCAACACGAGCCGAUAUGAUUCACCCAACAUAGCGAUGAAAUCAACGACUUAGUGUCAAAUCGGUACGUUGCCUCGUAUAUUUAGGAAAAGAAGAAUAAGAUUUUCGAAAUAAUGCAAAGCAAAUUGAUAAAUAAAUGACAGAGCUAGAAAUAUAUUGAAGCAAAUAUAAGUGUGACAAUAAUAUUACAAACAAUAAAGAUACAUGUAACACUAGAAUAAAACAUGAAAUAGAAAUAAUGAAUGUAUAUACAUGAUAUUAAGAGUAUGUAUGUAAACUAUAUAUAAUGUUUGAAUUAUAGACCUAAGAUAGUAAAAAUAUAACUAGUAAUGUUAAAAUAUAUACAUAAUAUAUACAUAUAUAUAUGAAGUAAAUAUUGAAAAAUGUAUGUACAUGAUAUAUAUAGGAAAAGUAUAUACAUAUUAACAUUAAAAUAAAAUAAUAAGUGAUAAUGAUUAAAAGAAUAGGUAUAAAUAUACAAAAGUAAUACUAUAUAUAAAAUAUGUAUACAAGAGUAAUAAAAUAUAUGUACUAAUAUUAGUAAUAAAUAUAGUGGGGUAAAAUUAUAAUAAUACGUACAUAAUACAAUAAAAAAUAUAUAUACAUAUAUGUGAUAAAGUAUUAGAAAAUGUAUACAUAGUAUAUAUACUAGGAAUAAUAAUAAUAGUGAAGAACAACCAUUAACAAUGCUACAUAAAUGAACGUAAGAUAGUAGUAUGCACAUAAGAUCGUAUAAAAAAUAUAUAAUUAUGAUACCAAAGUAAAUACAUAAUAUAUAUAUAUGAAAACGUAAUAUAAUAUUAGAAAUAUACAUACAUAAUUAUAGAAAUAAAAAUAUAUAUAUAUAUAUAUAUGUAUAUAUAGCACAUGCUAAAAGAAUAUUCACGUAAGUAUACAUGUAUAUGUACUAAAAUAUAUGUAAUAAUAUCACUUGAAGAAAUACACAUUAAAAAAUGCCUAUACAUAACAUGGGAUUUAAAAAUAUAUAUACAUAAAUAAUAAUAAGUAAAGAAUAAAUAUAGUGAAAAUAAUAAAUAUAAAAGUAAAAAAAAUAAUAUAUAAACAAAAUUAAAUAAAACGAUGAUAUAAAUAAUAAUGUGUUAAAAAUAAAUAAUAAAUAUAAUAAGGUAAAAUAAUAAAAAAGGGUAUAUUUACGUAUAUAAUAAAACAUAUAUUAAUAAUAAUAAUAAUAAUAAUAAGAAUAAUGUAGAAAGUAUAUAGGCGAAAUAGUACAAAAAUGUGUAACUAUGAUAUAUAAAGAAUAUGCAAAUAAUAUGGUAUUAAGGGUAUAUACAUAACUUAUAUAAAAAUGCAAUAUUUAAAGACACAUACACAUAAUAUAUAUAUAAAAAAACAUAUUCAUAACAAUAUAUAUAAUAUAACAGUAAGAACACAUAUAUAUUAAUAUGAAAAAGGUAUGUAUAUAUACGAUACAAUAUUAGAAUACUUACAUAUUAUACACCUAAUAUAAAUACUAUUAAUGUUUAAAAACCUAUUAAUUAUUACAUAGAUACAUUAUAAUGUAAAAAAAAAUGUGCGUAAUAUGUAUAUUAGAAAUAAUAAUAAUGACUAUAAUAAUAAUAUAUUGAUAAUAAGUAAUAAGAGGAAUAAAAAUAACAGUGAUAACAUGAACAAUAAAUAAAAUGGCAAAGACAAUAUGAAAAUAAACUUAAAUCUAGAAAAAAGGACCAAAUUUGAAACAACAACAAGGUUUUGGGGCGAUUUUAAAAAGAAACAAAGAAAAAGGAUCGAAAUGUAACAUGCGCACACCCUAGGAGGACCAAAACAGCAAUAAAUCUCCUGGUCAAAACGCAGUGCAGCUCGGGGGGACCAAAAUGCAAAACGCGACAUAUUUUGGGCCAAAUUAAAAUAAAUAAAAAACUUGAUUGUAAAAUAAUAAAAAUACGGAAGGGCCAGAAGCGCAAUUAGCCCUUCCGCUAUAAAAAACACGCGGAUCCUAGCGGGUCGGGUCGGGUCGGUCCGACCCAGGGCGAAACGACGCCGUUUCAGCCCUGAAUUUUAAUGCCAAAAACGGCACCGUUUUGAAAGGCUAUAAAUAGCCUAAAAAAUAAAAAAAAAAUCAUUUUGAGUUGGUAAAGAAAAAAAAAAGGGAGAGGGGGGAGAGAAGAGGAAAUCCAGCCAGGGGGCCGGUCACCGGUCCGUCACCGGACCUUCGCCGGCGCCGGCCACCGGGGCCGGUCACCGGUCCGUCACCGGCCACCGGGGCCGGUCACCGGUCCGUCACCGGACCUUCACCGGCGCCGGCGCCGGCCACCGUGCACAGUGGCCGGAAAGGUAAAUUUUUUAUUUAUUUUAUUUAUUUUUUUAUUUUUAUUUAUUUAUUUUAAAACGUAUAUAUUUUCAUAAAUAAACUUGAAAGAAAAAGAAAAAGAAAAGAAAAGAAAUCGAAAACACACAAAUCACCUCUUUUAAACUUCGAUUUUGUUUCAUUUUUGGGUGUCCGUUUUAGUGCUAUUCUCUAGGUUUAGUCGUGCUUGAAUCUUCUUUGGUGUUUUGAUUGUAUCUUGCUAUUCUAAUGCCCUCCUUUCGAUGUUAAUUUCUCUGUUUUUUUUUUUUUGUUUCAGAAGGGUCCAACCCCCUUUUACAUUUGCUUUUUGAUGGCUUUUAUAGCCUUACAACUUGAUUUUUCUAUAUUUUCUGUCCUAUCUCUGCCUAUUGCUUGCAGGUGCGGUGGGUGGAGGACAUGACCGGGGGCGGUGCUGCAAGGGCUGGUGUCAGAAGGCAGAGGCAAGUGAGAGCCAGGGUUUCGAGUUAGAGCUAAUUAGGGUUAGGGGUAAUUGGGCUAUUGGGUUUUAGGGAUUAGUGGGUUUGGUAAUUGGGUUAAUGGGUAUUGUAAUGUAAAUGGGUCAGGGAAGAUAAUUGGGCCUCUCGGGUUUUUUAAUGUAAAAUGGGAUUUGGGUUUUGUGGGUUAAAUUGGGCUUCGGGUUUAGUUUAAUUUUGGCUGGUAAAUGGGGUUAUUGUAACUUGGUUUUAAGUUGGGUCAAAUUGGCCUACAACAACACCGACAUCGCGACAACACGAUGUAUUUCUCAAGUAGUAUAGUUGCGUUUUAACAGUCAAUUAAGAUUUCUUCUUUUAGUCGAGAUCUGAUUACUUCAGGGGUAGUUUAGUUGUUUUAGCCCUUUAAACUUAACCUAUUUAAAGGGGUCUGAAGCAAUUAAAGAUGUAGUACUACAGGAUUUUUCUUUUGAGGGCAACAAGAUAUAGGCGUAGAUGAGUUUUGGUAAGAGUUUUCGUGGUAGCAAUUGUAAUGCCCCAAACCCAACCUAGAUGUUACAGCUGAAUCUGAUGAUGUCACAUGGAAUGGGUUUGAAACCAAAGCUAACUCGAUAAAAACCUUAAGCUUAUAAACCCUUCUACUUUCAUUUAUUUCAAAACAUUUAAUCAUUUGCCUUAAUAUCCUUUAGUGCGGAAGCUUAUGAAAAACCAUGAUGUUUUAAGCAAAUACAGUCCGAGAUUUAGAAAAGCUUGUUUAAGUAAACCGUUAUUUUAAGAGAAAACAUUAAUCAAGCAUGCAUAAAUCGAGCAACAAAACCAAAACCAUAGUUAAAGUCCAUACAGUCCAGAAAAUUACAAACUCUCCAAAAACAAGUACCGAAACUUAAAUAAAAUCAUAAAGAAAAAUAAAACAGUUCUACUGUAAUGGCCCCAAAUUCUCGAGUCAACGUUCGAGUGUUGACCUAGGUUGGCGAUGAAUAAAUUUAUUUUGGGAUUGGGUUUUUGUUGGAAUUAAUUUGAGUGAAUUUUGGAUCUUUUUUAUAAGAAAUUAAGGAUGUUGGGAAGCUUGUGUGAAGUAGGGGGAAGAUGGAUGACUAAUAUGGUGAUUUUACCAUUUUUUAAUAAAAAUCUUCUCCCAAUUAAUGAGAAAAGAUGGUUUGGUAUAUUGGGGUAUGAGAUAAAUUAGAUUUGUCCCUAUUUUUUCCUAUAUUAUAAUCACCAUAUUGUUUUUUUUCCUUUUACAUUUCUUCAUUUUUAUUUUUAUUUUUCUUCUUUUCUUCAUCUAUUUUUUUUCCUUAGCAAGUCUUUUAGACGGAGAGAGAUUUGAGUGAGUUCUCACCAUUUUUUUCAUCCUCCAAAUCUCAAAGAAGGUAAGAGUCUUGAUUUUUUUUUUUGUGUGUUUGGAAGGGUUUGAGUUUGAGGAAGUCUCUAUCCAUCUUCUCAUAUUUUAUUUAUUUAUUCAUUUAAAGUAUGUAUUUUUACAUCCUAUCAACUCUUUUUUUUAUUUUUUUUUGUGUGUGGGAAAUCUUAUGUGUUACAUGGUUAUUAGUUAAAGAGGGUGGUGAAUCUUCUAAAGCUAAGGGUAAAGGCAAAGUGGUGGAGAGCUAGGCAAGAAACUUUGUUGGUGUUCUUCCAUCAAGAUGAUACCCUCUAACUCUCCUAUACUUCUUGAUAAGUCAUAAAUAUGAUGCUUGUGUGACAAUGCAUGCAUGUUAUAUGUCUUUGGGUGGAAAUCUUGUUUGUGUGAUUUAAAAUGAAGCUAAAAACUUAUUUGUGAAAUAUGAUAGAAAGAGAUUAUUACAUAAACAGUAAGUUAAAAAAUUCACCAUAAAUUCUGUAAAAAUAAUUAAGAAGUGAUCUAUACAUCGUUGUAACCAUGAGUCAGUCUAGUUUUUUUAGAAUAAAUGGAGAUCAAUUUCAAUUUGUAUUUUAAAAUAUAUGAAUUUUUGAGUGUUGAAAGGUCAUAAAAAUCUGGCAGCAAAAUUCUUAUAAAACAGAUUUAGCAGUGAUUUUGAAAAAUCACCAAAAAUUUCAUAAGAUAAAAUAGAAAGCGAGCCUUAUAUCUCUAUAACCAUACAGAAGUCUAGUUUCGUUUAAAAAAAACGAUGCUAGAUUUAGUGUUAUAUAUUAAGAGUUGUUAAUUUUUGAAUAAGGAAAGGUCAGAAUGUCAAGGUAGCAGACUGUUACAUCUCUUUAGUUAAUAUUUUAGCUGGAAUGAUAAGCAAGUUGAAACAAGUAUGAGACUCGAAUGUCAUGGUUGUAUUUUUGUGAUUAUAUGUUUGAUGCUUUGUUUGCGCUCAGCCUUCGAGCUCUAACCUAACUAGCGGCCAUGAGUGGUGUUCGGGAUAACCCUACGGACACCCAGGAUUAUUUGACUAGCGGCCAUGAGUCGCGCGGGACUAUCCGGAUACCCGAUUAUUUGAGCAAUAUGUGCAAUCUAACAAGUUUGACAAGUUUGAUAUGAAAGCGGUUUGGUUAUGUAGAUUUAAUGACUCAUGUUUUAAUUAUUCGACACUCAUGUCAUGUUUUAUGUAUACAUUUGAUUUGCAUGCUUAUAUUUAUGAAUUGCUUGAAGUAUGGUAAUUUGUUGUGUACCAAUGAGCUUGUAAAGCUCAGCCUUCGAAUUUUCUUAAUGUUCAAAUUUGUAGACUUUUGUUCGUAUCCGAGGAACAUCAUCGACGAGAGACUCCUAGCAUCACGUAUUCAGAGUACAGUACCUUAUCUAUUAGUGGGCAUUGUAUUCCUAAGGACUUACUUGUAUUUUUUUUGCAGGUCUGUAACUCAUUUAUCAUUUUUUUUGUUAUUUUGACUAUUUUGAUAUACGAUGAUAUUGGAGCUCCACAUAUUUUGUAUUACUAUUUUCAGUAUAACUAUAUAUGGUAUUUUCUCUUAUAUAAAAUAUAUUUCAAUGUUUUAAAAUUAUUUGAAAGUUUUGUUGGGUUACUCCGGUGACUUGAUGUAGCGCCUUAGUAUUCGAGUACUCUGUAUUCGGGAUUAGGGUGUUACAUCUAUGGCGAGUGGUCACCUUCGAGUCCUCCGCUGCACCGAUCCACCUAAGACUGUGGAUUACCUGUACAGAUUAGACAGAAAGGAGUGAGUUUACGUAAACUCAGUAUGUAACCCCACAGAAUUAAGCAUGCACACAACUAAAAAUUAGAAUCAGAUAGAUACGAAUUCGGGCUUAAGCCCAUUACAGAUACAAAUACAGAAGUACAAACCAGAAUUAGAAUCAGAUAUCCUACCCCCAUCUUCUACACACCAUCUUUGUCCAUCCCUACACACCAUGUGGGGUUUAAAACACCCACCUAGCCCUACACACCAUGUUGUACCGAAUACGGCACAUAACAGAUAUAAUGCAAUCAUGUUGCCAGAUAAUAGGCUCAAAAUGCCUUUCAGAACACUUCCUCCAAUAUACAUCAUCCCAUACCCAAUAUCAGAUAACAUAACACACAUACAGAUUUAACAGAUAUAUCAUACUUAACAUGCUUUUAUAAAUAGAUAAUUGAUGUACAAACAUAGGCAUGCUCAUAACCAUUUUUCAGUCUAACAUAUCACUUAGUUUUAGGGUUAGAUAACGUUUACUGAUCCUACGGUAGGCCCACAGUUGAUUAGGACGACCCGAGCGACCUUAUGAAAAAUCUUAGUAUAGUGGGCCCACAUGCUCGUGUGGACCCACACGCCCAAAUUGGCAUUGCCUUUAUGGCCCACACGGCUUGGCCCAAUAAUCGACACGCCCGUGUGUCAUGCUCGUGUGGGACACACGCCCAGCUUGGCUUAGCCCGUGUGGCCCACAUGGCUACACUCGAGCCACCACACAGGCGUGUGCUGCGCACGGCCAUGCCUUCAUUGAUCAUACGGCCGUGUCCUCUCACACUACCUACCACAUGGGUAACCACACGCCUGUAUGGUGUCAAUAGUGGCCUUUUUUGGCUUUUGUCGAAACCUCAUUUUUUAUAUUUCAGGUACACAUCUAAUAUCGAUUCGCUGCCAACCCCUCAUGAGCCUUCCAAAACCUAAAUAUUGUCAUUUCAGAACCCGAAUUAGUAACACUUAUGAAAUCUCCACUGAACUCAAUUCUCCAUCGAAGCCUUACACUAUUAAACAACGCACGCGGAAACUUACUGUUAUCGAACAGACACCCCGAUCACUUAAAUCGUUACUGUAGCCUAAGCCAAUUCUUGUUCUUCCCCUAAACCGAAAGUGACAAGAACACCCCCUCAUUAACCACGUAGCAAAAAAAAACAAUAAGAAUUGAUAGAAAGACUUACUGUAGCGACGUAAAAAUUUUUUUAGUUUCGCUUGGUCACUAAUUGUGGCGAUUUAUUAAGCAUUUGAAAACCAACUUUCGAUUUUAUUAGCAAAGGGAAUCGCCACCGAUCCUUUUUUAUAGGUGUGAUCGGAUACCUAAUAAAAUUAUUUUUAAAUAAAAAGAAGGCCAAAUUUAGGUCUACGUGAAAGUCCAGAGAAAAAUUGGGGUUCAGGAGUCAGUUACGCGCGAGGAAGGUAUUAGCACCCUCGCGACGCCCAAAAUUGGUAUCUCAUAAACAUGUGUUGACUUGAUUUUCAAAAAUACGAGUUCAAUAUAAUAUUUAAUCGUGAUCCGAUUGAAAAAUGAGAAUUUUUAGUUUUCGAUUUUUUUUUAGAAAGGGUGUCCCGUUUUUUAACACAAGCCGACGAAUUUCACCCAACAUAGCGAUGAAAUCGAUGGCUUAAUAUUAAAUCGGUACAUUACCUUAUUUUUGAAAUUAAUUAAAACAUGAGAAAAAAUAUUCCUAAAGUAAGAAAUUAAAAAUAGAUAAAGGACGCAAAAAAAAUGAUAUCAUUAAUGAAAAAUAUUAACAUGGAAUACUAGAAUAUUAGAAUAACAAUAAUAAUGAUAUUUACAAAAUAAAAACAAAUCAUGUACUAAUAAUAAAAUAGGAAAAAUGAUAUAUUUGGUAAUAAUAAUAUAAAAUAAUAAUAUGUACAUAAAAAUACAUAUAUAUAUAUAUGCAUAUAAUAAAAGUAUGUAAUAAUAAUAAUAAUAAUAUCUACAAUAAAAGAAAAUAUUAGGAAACGUACAUAAAAAAUAUAUACAUAAAAAAUUUACAACAAUAAUAUAAAAUAAUGAUAUGUACAAAAAUAUAUAUACAUAUGUACAUAAAAUAUACACUAAUAUAAUAAUAGUUAUAAUAAUACUAGCAAUAGUAAUAAUUUGUAAUAAUAAUAUAUACACAAUAUGGUAUUUAAAAUAUAUAUAUGUAUAUAUAAUAGUAUUUAAGAAUAUAUACAUAAGAAAUAUAUAACUAAUGGCAUUAAAAAAUAUAUACAUAAUAUAUAUAAAAUACCUAAAAAAAAAAGAAGGGGGAAAGAAGAGAGAAGGGAGGGGGGAAAGGAAAUCCGGCCAAGGGGGGCCGGUCACCGGCCGAUCGUCGGCCGCCGCCCGUCACCGGCGCCGGCCACCGCCGGCCACCACCCACGGUGGCCGGAAAAGGUAAUUUUUUUUCUUAACAAUAUAUGUAUAUAUAAAGAAAGAAAAAAACAACAGAAAAAAAAGAAAGAAAAAAAGAUUCGAAAGAAGAGGAAAAAAGAAAAAAAUGCAACCUUUUUAUUGAUGUUUCUUUUGUGUUCAAAAUUUGAAGGGAUUUUUGUGUUUGUCUCCUUUUUCAAUCUUUGUAAAAUCCCCUCUUUACAUGAUUUUUGAAUGGCUUUUUAUAGCCAUCUUUUACAUGAUUUUCUAUUAUUUCUUUUUCUAUUUUGUAGGUGGUGGUGGUAGACAAUGGAUAUCAAAAAUGGGAGGAAAAAUGGGGCAAGUGGGAAAGUGGGUAGGUGGCUAGGGUUUCUUGAUUUUUUUUGAGGGGGGGUUAGGUUUUUUUUUGGGGGUUAGGUUUUUUUGGGGGGGCUUAAUGGGCUUUUGAAUUGGGUUUAAUAUUUGGGUUUUGUAAUGGGUUUGGGUAGAUGUAAAUGGGUCAUGGGUUAAGGGUUUUAGUGGGUUUAGAGGUUUGGUUGGGUUUUGAUAUAAUCGGGCCCGGGCAAUUUGGGCUUCUACAGCUGCCCCUCUUUGCUCAUUGUCGUGCAACGAUAAUAGAGCAAAGACUUUCAAGGAAGACCAAAUUUUCCCGGUCUUGCUAGGUCUUGACUUGCUUUGGAACUCUUCUUGUUUAGUUAGUCCCUUUUCAGUCCACUGCAUCUUGUAGCUUUGGUUCACUCCACUGCAUCUUAUGAUAUACGCCUUGUAGCUUCAAUCUGUUCCAAUGUAACUUCAAGGAUAUGAAAUUUAUGGCUUCGACCUACUUCACUGUAACUUCAGAAAGGUGAGAUCUACAACUUCAAUCUGCUCUUCUAUCGCUUCAGUGAGAUAAGGUUUGUGGUCUUUUCUUCUGCGACUUCAAAAAGGCAAGAUCUGAUGUCCUUGAACAACUCCACUGCAACUUUAAGGAGACAGAAUCUGACGUCUUCAAUCAGCUUCAAAUUCUCUACUCGGCAUGUGCUCCUGAGCUCAACUCAUUUUUCGCAAUAUGAAUUGACUCUCUAAAAACAGACAUUAAAAACAGAAAUCGAAAAUAGCUCAGCGCGUGAGCCAAGGCUCAACUCACCUCUCGCAAUAUGAGUUGAUUUUUUGAAACUUAACUUGAAAAGCAGAUUUUGAAAAUACCUCGAUAUGUGACUGGAGGUUCAACUCACCUCUCGCAAUAUGAGUUGAUUUUUGAAAAACAGAAAUUAAAAGACUCAACUCAACUCUCGCAGAAAUUAAAAAACUCAACUCACCUCUCGCAAUAUGAGUUGAAUUUUUUUGAAAAAAACAGAAAUUGAAAAUAGCUCAGCACGUGAGCCAAGGCUCAACUCACUUCUCGCAAUAUGAGUUGAUUUUUGAAAACAGAAUUUGAAAAACAGAUUUUGAAAAUACCUCGACAUGUGACCCGAGGCUCAACUCACAUCUCGCAAUGUGAGUUGAUUUUUUUGAAAAAUAUAAAUUGAAAAAAUACCUCAGUGUGUGAUCUGAAGCUCAACUCACCUCUCGCAAUAUGAGUUGAUUUUUUUGAAAGACAGAAAUUGAAAAUAGCUCAGCACGUGAGCCAAGGCUCAACUCACCUCUCGCAAUAUGAGUUGAUUUUUUUUGAAAGGCAGAAAUUGAAAAACGGAAAUUGAAAAUACCUCGGCGUGUGACCUGAGGCUCAACUCGCCUCUCACAAUACGAGUUGAUUUUUUUGACAACAGAAAUUGAAAUUACCUCAGCGUGUCCUGAGGCUCAACUUACCGCUCGCAAUAUGAGUUGAUUUUUUUGAAAAACAGAAAUUGAAAAACGGAAAUUGAAAAUACCUCGGCGUGUGACCUGAGGCUCAACUCGCCACUCGCAAUACGAGUUGAUUUUUUGACAACAGAAAUUGAAAUUACCUCAGCGUGUCCUGAGGCUCAACUCACCUCUCGCAAUAUGAGUUGAUUUUUUUUUGAAAGAUAGAAAUUGAAAAAUGGAAAUUGAAAAUACCUCGGCGUGUGACCUGAGGCUCAACUCGCCUCUCGCAAUACGAGUUGAUUUUUUUUGACAACAGAAAUUAAAAAUACCUCAGCGUGUCCUGAGGCUCAACUCACCUCUCGCAAUAUGAGUUGAUUUUUUGAAACAUACGAAAAAUUGACAAUACCUCAGCGUGUCCCGAGGCUCAACUCACCUCUCGCAAUACGAGUUGAUUUUUUUGACAACAGAAAUUAAAAAUAUCUCAGCGUGUCCUGAGGCUCAACUCACCUCUCGCAAUAUGAGUUGAUUUUUUUAAACAUACGAAAAAUUGACAACACCUCAGCGUGUCCCGAGGCUCAACUCACUUCUCGCAAUAUGAAUUGAAUUUUGAAAUAAAACAUCAGAAUACCAGAACAUGUCAUCUGGUGGAACUCAUGUGUCUUUUUAGCUAUCAUCACAUCUUAUUGCUCUACUAGAGUACCUGUAUAUGUCAUGCAUGAUAUUAUCAUGGUAUGCACAUGCUUGUCUUAAAUGCUUUUAUGCCUACAUGAUUAUGCAGUGCUCCUUAACCAUGUUUGUCGUAUGUCCAUUUAGCCACGAUUGUUGAGGAUCUGUGUUCAUUGCUUUGAUUCUCGACUUUCUCUUCAGGCCUUAUACCUGUCUUCAAGCUUCAGAGUAAUCGACGUUUCUCAGAUAUCACUCUUCUGCCCCCGAUUGAACUUUGCUCUUACUUUGAGACUCUUGUGCUUAUCAAAUUUUCAUCCAGGUAAUGCUUAACAUUUCUUUUGUUUAGAGUAUGUCAUUUCACCAUUUAUCAUGUAAAUAAACACAUAAUGAGAUGCAUGAAAAAGGUCAGAUAGGGACAAAAAUGAUAUUUAAUAUUCAUCUAUUUCAAAUGUGGCAAACAAAGCAAGUUAACCAAUGAGAAUAAAAAUGUCAAAAAGAAAGAAAGGAUCGUAUUCAACGGAUACAAAUGCUCUAGAUAUUCAACACAUGAACUCUUCCUCGUUUCUCAAUCAAAAAUCUUUUCGAGCGCGGCUUCUUGCAUAGAAGAUUUCGAGCUUUCAGAAAUGCUUCAAAUACUAUAGCCUCACUGCUUGACCUAUCGUUCGACCGCCAGGUUUGUUUCAUUAGGACGCCCUCUCGGGUUUUCAUCCUAAUCUUUUUGUACUAAUCAAGAUGUCCUUUUCGGGUUUUCGCCUUGAUCCCCCUUUUUUUUUGAAGAUGCCCUUUUCGGGUUUUCAUCUUAAGCAUAAUAUUUUUUCACAGCAUCUGAGUUCACUGGAUUCGACAACUCUUUCCAAUCCAUCUCAGUAAGGAUCAAAGCUCCUCCUGAGAAUGCAUUCUUUACGACACAUGGUCCUUCCCAAUUUGGUGCCCAUUUUCCUCGCAGGUCUUUUUGUAUUGGGAGAAUUUUCCUCAGCACGAGUUCUCCUUCAUGGAAUUCUCUUGGCCGUACCUUCUUGUCAUGGGCUGUGAUCAUUCUUUUCUGGUACAUUUGUCCAUGACAAAUUGCCCUAAGACACUUUUCUUCAAUGAGGUUCAGCUGAUCAUAUCGAGCUUGUACCCAUUCUGCUUCUUCUAACUUUGAUUCCAUUAAGACUUGCAGAGAGGGGAUCUCAACCUCAAUAGGUAGCACAGCUUCUAUUCCAUAAACCAGAGAGAAAGGAGUUGCUCCUGUAGAUGUUCGCACAGAUGUGUGAUAUGCAUACAAAGCAAAUGGUAGUUUCUCGUGCCAAUCUUUAUAUGUCUCAGUUAUUUUCCCAAUGAUCUUCUUAAUAUUUUUGUUGGCUGCUUCCACAGCCCCGUUCAUCUUUGGGCGAUGAGGCGAGGAGUUAUGAUGCUUUAUUUGGAAUUGCUCGCACACUUCUUCCAUCAUCUUAUUGUUCAGAUUCAUGGUAUUAUCUGAAAUGAUUCUUUGAGGCAAACCAUAUCGGCAAAUGAUUUCCUUUUUCAAAAAUUUGCACACUGCAGUCUUCGUCACAUUGGAAAACGAAGCGACUUCAAUCCAUUUUGUGAAGUAAUCGAUAACCAAAAAAAUGAAUCGAUGUCCAUUUGGAGCUUUUGGAGAAAUUGGCCCUAUGACAUCCAUGCCCCACAUAGAAAAAGGCCACGGAGAAGUCAUGAUAUGAAGGGGUGAAUGGGAUACAUGAAUUUUAUCACCGUAGAUUUGACAUUUGUGACAUUUUCUGGCAAAAUUGAUGCAGUCAAUUUCCAUUGUCAGCCAAUAAUAACCGAGUCUCAUGAUCUUUCUGGCCAUAUUGAAACAAUUGGCAUGCGUUCCGCAAAUUCCCUCAUGGACCUCUUCACGUAUUUUUCUAGCUUCAACAUCAUCCACACAUCUCAAAAGCAUCUGAUCUUUUCCUCUUUUGUACAGGAUGUCCCCAUCAAGAACGAAUCCUGCUGCCAUUCUUCUGAUUGUUCUUUUGUCGUUCUCGUUUGCUUGUUCGGGAUACUUUUGAUUCUUGAUAUAUUCUAAGACAUCAUGGAACCAUGGCCGUCUAUCUGUCUCUUUCUCAAUGCUGAAACAAUGUGCAGGGGCUUCAUAUAUGCUCAUUUGAAGAGGCAUUAUUUCUGUUUCCCAGUUUGCUUUGAACAUUGAAGCCAAAGUGGCCAAGCAUCAGCCAAUUGGUUUUCUUCUCGUGGGAGGUAAUUAAAAGUUAUUUCUUCGAAUUCUUUAAUCAACUCUGCCACUCGAUCUCUGUAUUUAACCAGUUUCGAGUCUCUCACUUCCCAAUCUCCACGGAUUUGGUAAAUCACCAAGGCUGAGUCUCCGUAUACCUCUAAAGCUUCGAUGUUUCGUUCAAUAGCUGCACGGAGUCCCAUGAUACAUGCCUCAUAUUUCGCUAUGUUAUUGGUACAGAAGAAGUUCAGUCUUGCAGUGAACGGAUAAUGAUUCCCGUCUGGUGAUACCAGGAUUACUCCAAUUCCAUGCCCUAAAGCAUUUGACGCACCAUCAAAGCACAUCUUCCAUGACUUCUCUUUUGAUGACUCGGAUUAUAUUUUUGUGAUGCAUAUUAAGUCUUCGUCUGGGAAAUCGAAUCUUAAAGGCUCAUAUUCCUCUGUCGUUUGAGUUGCUAAGAAAUCAGCUAUUGCGCUCCCUUUUAUCGACUUCUGACUUACAUAGGCAAUGUCAUAUUCCGAAAGGAGGAUCUGCCAUCGUGCCAUUCUUCCUGAUAGUGCCGGCGAUUCCAUCAUGUAUUUUAUUGGGUCCAGCUUUGAAAUUAGCCAUGUUGUGUGAUACAACAUAUAUUGUCUGAGUCUCCGAGCUACUCAAACCAGAGCGCAACAAUAUUUCUCAAUAGACGAAUAUUUUGCCUCAUAUUCAGUAAACUUUUUGCUGAGGUAGUAGAUCGUUUUUUCUUUCUUUCCUGACUCGUCGUGUUGCCCCAGUACGCAACCCAUUGAACUUUCGAACACAGUCAAAUACAAUAUCAAUGGUCUUCCAGGAGUUGGCGGUACUAGCACUGGAGGACUGGACAAAUAUUGUUUUAUCUUAUCAAAGGCCACCUGGCAGUCCUCGUUCCAUUCUCCCGGGUUAUGUUUUCGAAGAAGCCGAAAGAUUGGGUCGCAUUGGUUGGUAAGUUGAGCGAUAAAUCGGGCGAUGUAGUUUAAUCUCCCUAAAAAUCCUCUAACUUCCUUUUGCGUGCGCGGAGGUGGUAAUUCUUGGAUGGCUUUUAUUUUAUCUGGAUCAACUUCGAUACCUCUUUCACCGACAAUGAAGCCUAGCAAAUUUCCCGAGGUAGCCCCAAAUGUACAUUUGGCCGGAUUGAGCUUUAGCUGGAACUUUCUCAGUCUGUCGAACAAUUUCUUCAGAUUCACUACAUACUCUUCUUCCCCUCGAAAUUUAGCAAUCAUAUCGUCGACGUAGACCUCUAUUUCUUUAUGCAUCAUGUCAUGGAAUAGCGUCACCAUAGCCCUCUGAUAUGUUGCUCCAGCAUUCUUUAACCCAAAUGGCAUCACCUUGUAGCAGAAUGUUCCCCACAUUGUUACGAAAGUAGUUUUCUCCAUAUCCUCAGGGGCCAUCUUGAUCUGAUUAUACCCCGAGAAUCCAUCCAUGAAAGAAAACAAUGAAUGUUUUGCUGUGUUAUCCACCAACGUAUCAAUGUGUGGUAAGGGAAAAUUAUCUUUAGGACUUGCUCGAUUCAGGUCACGAUAAUCCACGCACAUUCGUACUUUGCCAUCUUUCUUUGGUACCGGGACUAUGUUAGCCACCCAUUCUAGAUAUUUGGAGGCUUGUAGGAAGCCAGCAUCAAAUUGCUUCUUGACUUCCUCUUUUAUCUUCAACAACAUCUCAGGCCUCAUCUGUCUUAGCUUUUGUUGAAUGGGCUUGCAUUCUGGCUUUAAUGGGAGCUUAUAGACCGCUGCAUCUUCAUCCAAUCCUAGCAUGUCCUGAUAUGACCAUGCGAGUACAUCUUUGUACUCACGGAGCAAAGCUAUCAAAUUAUGUCUGGUGCCCCCUGAAAUAGAAGUCCCAAUCUUCACUUCUUGCUUCCUUUCUUCAGUUCCUAGAUUUAUUGUUUCAACAGAUUCUUGAUUAGGCAAAAUCUAUUUAUCCUCUUGUUUCACCAUUCUUAGCAAGUCAGGGGACGAGACAUAGUCUUCAGCAUUUUUUUCGACUUCAAAUUCUCCUAAACAAACAGCCUUCUCAAAAUCGAUUUCAGGACUCGUAAUGGGUUUGUUCAUGCUGUUGAUAUCUGAGCACCUGAAAGUUGAAUGGAAAAGGAAACUAUAGAGGGGCAUCCAAGUAUUGGAACCAACAAACGAAAUGUUAUGGCAUGGUAUGAGGCAAAUGUACAGAUAGGCUAUGAAAUGAGGAGAUGAUUAUGAAAUUAGUGAUAAUGCGAAAGAUCGUGAUAAAAUGCAUCUUCAUUGAUAUUCAUUUAAAUGAUAAAGAGUGAAUGCAAGCUCUUACAAAAGAGUUCUAUUAUAUCUAAGGACACAAUAGAGGGUUAAUAUUUGAGCAUUACUCUGAAGACUUAUAAACUACAAGAAGGUCCUCGGCAGUCCAAUUGUUCAACAUGAAACCAGGAGGACAAUGGCGUAUCAUUGAAACAUCUUUAAUAGCCUCACUUCCUUUGUCAAUGAUAUUUAUACUGACAUUUUGAAAACCCCUUUCAAUUAAAAACAGUGUGCUUUGUAUAUUAUCCUAUCCGGGGUAUAUCAUUCCCGCAGAAGUAAAUGUUUUUGACAAAGGAGCGUAUGUUAUGGGCUCACAUUCUACUUCUCGGUCCAAAGUUCUCACAAUCCUUCUCUCCUGAUAUUUUUUCCACUGUUUUCUUCUUUGACGCAUGUCCGGCUGGAACCCAAAAUCGUAUCGGGCCUUGUGAUGUACUGGCUUUAGAGUCCUGAUUAUUCCUUGUAGGUACCUUCCCAAACCUUUCCUUGCUCGGGCUCCCUUUCCUACAGUCAACUUGACACCCAUCUUGGUAUUUCUCGACAGUUUUGGCUCGGGAAUUAUGUUUCCCUCAAUGACGAAUGUGGCAUUCACAAAUUUAAGAGAUCGGAAGGAACAUUUCAGAGCGUCUUUACUCACUUUAAUAUAUGGUGCGUCGGCAGAAAUAGAUGCUACAAUGUCUUCUUCUCCCUUGACAGUGACCAAACAGCCAUCCAUGAUAAAUUUCACUUUUUGAUGGAGGGAUGAUGGGACUGCUCCAGCAGAAUGGAUCCAAGGUCUUCCCAAGAGACAAUUGUAUGAUGGUGUAAUGUCCAUGACUUGAAACUCAACAUCGUAUAUGUAGGGACCCACUUCUAGAUGGAUCUCGAUUUUUCUCAUAACUUCUCGUCUUGUUCCAUCGAAUGCCCUUACUGUAGAAUGACAGGGCCUUAGAUAGGAUAAAUCCAUCGGAAUCCUGGAAAGUGUGGCCAAAGGCAUGACAUUGAGUGCCGAUCCAUUAUCGAUGAGCACAUUCGGUAUUAUAUAGCCCUUACAACGGGUUGUGAUAUGCAAUGCUUUCACUGAGCCUCUACCAUUGGGCGGUAUUUCAUCAUCACUAAAAGAAAUAAAAUUAUCCGCAUUCAAGUUGUUCAUCCAUCUAUCCAAUUUUUCAACGGAUACAUUUUUUGCCACAUAAGCUUGAUUUAACACUUUCAGCAGAGCGUUCCGGUGUGGUUCUGAAUUCAACAGCAGAGAUAAUACCGAGAUUCGCGCUGACUGCUUACUCAAUUGUUCUACCACGUUGUACUCACUGUGCUUGAUUAAUUUUAAGAAUUCCUGUGCUUCCUCCUCGUCCACAAGCUUUUUAGCUUCUUGUUCAGGCACAGUUUCAUGCUCAUCUUCGGUCACGUGCAUCGGUGCUUUUCCUUUCUGUUUCAAGUCACUGUUCUUCUUUAUCUCAUUCGAAUAACAUCUUCCACUACGAGUGAAAUGACCUACUUUCCCGACGCUUCCAGUCAUGGCUUUAGGAUUUUCAUCUUCAGGUGUGACGAUAUUAACGUCAUACUUCCAUGGUACUGCUUUAUUGUCCUUGUAAGGGAAAGGAAACGGUACUUCAAUUAUCAUUUUUGGUUUCACCGAUUCCUUCCUUGUAUCGCAAUAAAUUACGAAUGGUCGAUCGGCGCUAUACGGACAACCUGACGAUUGAUUAUCGGAGGUACAUACUUCUUUCUCAUUGUUCUCUCCUUCAUUAAUGAUCUCAAUCUCCUUAUUAUCUAUCCGGUCUUGCAGUAACCUUUUAAAUUCCUCGCAUGAUUGAAUGUCGUGCCCUACAAUUCUAUGAAAAUCACAAAAAACCUGACAUUCUUUUCUGAGAUUAUCGUCGGGGCGACAGAGCAAUCCAUUCUUAACCAGUACCUCCCAUAUUUUCUACAGAGGCGUCCUUAUUUCUGAAACACAUCUUCUAACUUGCCAUUCAUCUUCUUUCCCCACUGUGCUCACAUUCCCUUCAGUAUGGUUAGGGAACGGGUUACUAUCGAAUUGUAGGAUACCCGCAUCAAUUAGUCCUUGAACUCUCCUUUUAAAAGCUAGGCAAUUUUCUGUGGAAUGUCCCUGGUUUCCUGCAUGGUAUGCACAACUAGCAUUUGGGUCGUACCAUUUCGGGUAUGAGGUUUAAGGGGUGCCAUGUAAUAGGGAGAUAUCAAUUGUUUCUCCAAGAGUUUUGGGUACAAUUCCUCAUACGACACAGGGAUAGGAGUAAAUUGUGGCUUCUCGGGGUUGGGCCUUGUUGGUCUUGGUUCGUUUCUGGGUUGGUUUUGAACUGGUGCAGUGUUUUGUGAAAAAGUGGUGACGGGUCUUUGGUUGUUCAUGGCGUAUACGGGGUAGGAGGGAGGUGGUGUUUGGUAGUAAGGGGUUUGAGGAGAAUAAUAGAAAUUUAGAGGUGGAUAAUUUUGAGGUCGGGGUUGAUUUGGAUAUGGAUUAGGGGCAUAACGGUUUCUCAUUCCCACCAUGUGGGCUUCUGGUUCUUUCUUCUUCAUAGGCGCUGCCCUUUUUGAACCUUCUGAACCUUCCAUUCUACCGUUCUUGACGGCAUUCUCUAUGAGCUCACCAGAUAUUACAAUAUCCGCAAACUCCUUCGUGGCACUUCCCACUAGUUUGUCAUAAAACGGCGCCUUUAAGAUGUUGAUAAAGAGAACGGUUAUCUCCGUUUUUGUUAGUGGGGGUUCCACUUAGGCCGAGACGUCUCUCCAUCUCUGCGCAUACUGUCUGAAGGUCUCUGAUGGCUUUUUCUCCAUUAUUUGCAAGGUCAUCCGGUCUGGCACCAUGUCUGAUACAUGCUUGUACUACUCGUAGAAUGCAGACGCCAAGUCCUUCCAGGAUCGAAUCUUUUCUCUACUAAGUUGGUUGUACCAUCGAAGAGCUGACCCUGUUAGACUAUCUUGAAAGCAAUGUAUAAGUAGCUUAUCCUCGUUCACAUAACCGGUCAUUUUUCGACAGAACAUGAUGAGAUGUAGUUUUGGGCACCUUGUCCCAUCAUACUUUUCAAAAUCAGGCGCCUUGAAUUUCGGAGGCAAGAUUAGAUCAGAUACCAAACUGAGUUCUUUGGCACCUAGUGCGGAGAAGACUUCAGUGCCUUCUAUUGCUUUGAAUCUUUCCUCUAGACUUCUAUAUUUUGCAUCAUGAUUAUCCAAUUUCAACUUGACUACCUCUGCUGGGUCGUCCAGAUCUGGAACUAGUGGAUCAGCAGGGCUUGCCCCUGGGUUUGACACGAAUAUUCCUUGCCCCAGAUUAGUGGGUGGAGCAGGUGGCAUAGGUCAUUGUUCCAAGACUGUGGGUUCCCCUUGAGUAUACCCUCUUUGUGUUGUAUAUGCGGGUGGUGGAGUGAAUCCCGGGGGAUAGAGUGGAUCCUGAUCGUGGUGAAUUCUUGACUGAGGUUCCAUAACAUCGGGGUUCUGCACGGGUCCUUUUCCUUUGACCAAAGUUGUCAUCAUCUCCAUCAUUUUGGCAAUCUGAUCUCUUUGCUCGAGUGAUUCCUCUCGAGAUCUCACCAUUAGGUCUCUCGUUUCUUGUUGCGAUUUGGCCAGUUGCUCUAGUAAUUCCUUUUGAGCCCUUUCCAUCCUUUCAAUUCUCUCAUUGAAUUCAGCCUCCAUUACUCUAGCUUGUCGGCGCAUUUUAUACGGAUGACGUGGUUCCAGUCUUGUGGUAUUACAACUGCGAAUUAUAUAUUUUAUCUUCAGCGACCGAGUAUGGGAUAUGCAAUGUAUGAAUGAAUGCAUGAAUGUCAAAUGAAUGUCAGUCAUGAAUGAAUAUGCAAAAAUUUGGUGUUAAUUUCAAGAUAGCCCUUAUUUAGGCAUUUCCUUAAUCAAAAGAGUAUUACACAACGUUUCGGUCACUCGUAUAAUUGACUCCUCCAUCAGAAACCCAUUUUUGGCAACCAAUCUCUAAUCAACACCUUCCUAACAAGAUGCCUUUGAUACAUGAUGAAAAAUAGAAAUACAGACAAAUAACCUUGGUUAGCAUAACACAUAUGAACAGAUAAAAACUAUGGAAAAUCUAACAAAUUAAGCUCCUUGGUCCAAUGGACUCAAUUCCCUUGCAUAGAAAGCGUAAAUGUAAAAGAAGCAGAAGGUAAGAUGUGUUUUUCCGGUGUACUUAUUUCGGUGACUAGUAAACGGACAAAGGUUAGGCAUGGCUCUAGUUAGGUGGCUCGUACAGUUCACUAUAUGCGGUUUUGGCUCUAGAUAGGUACUCGAAUUGUCCAUACUAUCAUCUACUAAGAUUAGUAUAUAGCCUCAGUCAUUGCCCAUCAUAGGCUCACGAGUUCAAUUCGAGGGAUUACAUUUACUUAUGCCUAUGCGGAUGGACAAGUUAACUCACGAAAGUAUAAGUCAUAUGUAACCCGAAAGUAUUCACUAGCCUGUGCGGAGGGACGAGUUAACUCACGAAGGCGUAGCAUUUACUUUCACUUAAACGGACGGAGCCCGGGUAGAGAGCUCAUGUUAUGCGAAAAUGCAAGUGCACGGUGUGUGGGGAAAAACUCAUAAACCUUUACGUUUUACUUAAAAAACUAAACCAAAACUAAAAUCACAAAAAUUUAAAGUUGAAAAACAACCGAAUAAAACAAGUUAGAAUAUAUACAACACGAUGCAAAUGCAUGAUUUUUUGAAAACAAAAAAUUUGAGGAUCACGACUAAAUGUUAAUUUGAACAAUGAACUUUGAAAAUUUUGACAACGCGAGUUUAAUUCGACUCGACUCGCAAGUUUGGUCCCCAGCGGAGUCGCCAGCUGUAGCGACGUAAAAAAUUUUUUAGUUUCGCUUGGUCACUAAUUGUGGCGAUUUAUUAAGCAUUUGAAAACCAACUUUCGAUUUUAUUAGCAAAGGGAGUCGCCACCGAUCCUUUUUUAUAGGUGUGAUCGGAUACCUAAUAAAAUAAUUUUAAAACAAAAAGAAGGCCAAAUUUAGGUCUACGUGAAAGUCCAGAGAAAAAUUGGGGUUCGGAAGUCAGUUACGCGCGAGGAAGGUAUUAGCACCCUCGCGACGCCCAAAAUUGGUAUCUCAUAAACAUGUGUUGACUUGAUUUUCAAAAAUACGAGUUCAAUAUAAUAUUUAAUCGUGAUCCGAUUGAAAAAUGAGAAUUUUUAGUUUUCGAUUUUUUUUUAGAAAGGAUGUCCCGUUUUUUAACACAAGCCGACGAAUUUCACCCAACAUAGCGAUGAAAUCGAUGGCUUAAUAUUAAAUCGGUACAUUGCCUUAUUUUUGAAAUUAAUUAAAACAUGAGAAAAAAUAUUCCUAAAGUGAGAAAUUAAAAAUAGAUAAAGGACGCAAAAAAAUGAUAUUAUUAAUGAAAAAUAUUAACAUGGAAUAUUAGAAUAUUAGAAUAACAAUAAUAAUGAUAUUUACAAAAUAAAAACAAAUCAUGUACUAAUAAUAAAAUAGGAAAAAUGAUAUAUUUGGUAAUAAUAUAAAAUAAUAAUAUGUACAUAAAAAUACAUAUAUAUAUAUAUAUGCAUAUAAUAAAAGUAUGUAAUAAUAAUAAUAAUAAUAUCUACAAUAAAAGAAAUUAUUAGGAAACGUACAUAAAAAAUAUAUACAUAAAAAAUUUACAACAAUAAUAUAAAAUAAUGAUAUGUACAAAAAUAUAUAUACAUAUGUACAUAAAAUAUACACUAAUAUAAUAAUAGUUAUAAUAAUACUAGCAAUAGUAAUAAUUUGUAAUAAUAAUAUAUACACAAUAUGGUAUUUAAAAUAUAUAUAUGUAUAUAUAAUAGUAUUUAAGAAUAUAUACAUAAGAAAUAUAUAACUAAUGGCAUUAAAAAAUAUAUACAUAAUAUAUAUAAAAUACCUAAAAAAAAAAGAAGGGGGAAAGAAGAGAGAAGGGAGGGGGGAAAGGAAAUCCGGCCAAGGGGGGCCGGUCACCGGCCGAUCGUCGGCCGCCGCCCGUCACCGGCGCCGGCCACCGCCGGCCACCACCCACGGUGGCCGGAAAAGGUAAUUUUUUUUUCUUAACAAUAUAUGUAUAUAUAAAGAAAGAAAAAAACAACACAAAAAAAAAGAAAGAAAAAAAGAUUCGAAAGAAGAGGAAAAAAGAAAAAAAAUGCAACUUUUUUAUUGAUGUUUCUUUUGUGUUCAAAAUUUGAAGGGAUUUUUGUGUUUGUCUCCUUUUUCAAUCUUUGUAAAAUCCCCUCUUUACAUGAUUUUUGAAUGGCUUUUUAUAGCCAUCUUUUACAUGAUUUUCUAUUAUUUCUUUUUCUAUUUUGUAGGUGGUGGUGGUAGACAAUGGAUAUCAAAAAUGGGAGGAAAAAUGGGGCAAGUGGGAAAGUGGGUAGGUGGCUAGGGUUUCUUGGUUUUUUUGGGGGGGGAGUUAGGUUUUUCUUUUUUUUUUUUGGGGUUAGGUUUUUUUGGGGGGGGCUUAAUGGGCUUUUGAAUUGGGUUUAAUAUUUGGGUUUUGUAAUGGGUUUGGGUAGAUGUAAAUGGGUCAUGGGUUAAGGGUUUUAGUGGGUUUAGAGGUUUGGUUGGGUUUUGAUAUAAUCGGGCCCGGGCAAUUUGGGCUUCUACACUUACCAAACAACGCAACUGGAAAUUGCACAAAAGAAAUCGCUUUGAACAAAACCCGAAAAGGAAAGAAAAGAGGAAGCAAUGGACAAGGAAGACAAGAGAAUUGAACGUAAAAACAGAAGGAAAUUUUUGGAAAAAAAGAAGAGAUAAAAUAAAAUAAAAUUAAUUUGAUAUACCCCAACUUCCCCCUAACUGCACAAUCUCAACCAUUUUUAGCAUUUAAGUCCCACCAAAACUCUUAACGCAAAAUCGAGCAAAAAUAAAUACUCAUGCUCACACAAUGAUUCAAACACAAGACAUCCAACACACCAACACCCUUACCACUCGAACUAGUAGACUUGAAUUAACAAACAAUUAAAUAUAAGCCCACUGAACAAAGAUAAGGCUUAAGUCAGGAAAAUAACAAAAUUUGCUAAAGGUAAAGCUUGAACCUAAAACCUCUCGCACACCCAGAACACUUAACCACUAAAGCAGAUACACAAUCGUGUCAAAAUUUUACAAAAGCACACAUAAGAAAUUUGGGGCAUUACAACUAUGGAGAGAAUUUUGUACACGAGUUAGGCUUUGUUUUCGAGGCUUGGGUUUAUAGGUUUAGUACAUUUAGAUUUAUUUUUUCCAUAUUAUACUAUUGUUUAUUUACUCAUUUAGUGAAAACCCGAAGCCUUCUAGUUUUUAAUCCUCUUUAGAAGAGUUUUCCACGUAAAUUUUGUCUUCUUAAUCUUCUUUAUUUUUCUCUUUCGUUGUUUAUACGAGUCAAUCCCCAGCAAUAUGGACUCGGAUUUGUAUGUCCAAAAACAAAUCUUGUUUCUUGCUUUCUAAAUUUUCCCACAAAAGUACAAGAGAAUAAAAACUUCUUGCCUCUAUGUUCUUUAAAUCCUCUCUUUGCAACCAUUAAAGGAUUUGAUCGAAGAUCGACUCCGUAUUGGAGGAUUAAAUUCUUACAAAUAAACCCCCCAAACAUAUGACUCUUACAAAAUCACAUUUCGCAAAAAAAAAAUUUACAUAAAAAAAGUAUAACAUUGUCACGUUGAUUGAUCUCUUUGUCGGUUUCUCCUUUACAGGGAUCAAGAACAAACUAGAGGUGUGCAUGGGCCGGGCUACCCGGCCCGGCCCGAAGGCCAGCUUGAAAUGUGGGAGGGUUUGGGCAAAAAUAUAGGCCCGAAAAAUGGGCUUGGACCAAAAAUAAGGCCCGUUUAAAAAAUGGGUCGGGCCUCGGGUAAGGUAUUUUUAGCCCGGGCCCGGCCCGAAUUCACUAAAAGACAAAAAAAUCUACUUUUUUUUAUUUUUGAAUGUUAUUUUCUUGUUGUUUUCUCCAUUUUUUGCUACCAUUUUACUAUUAUGUUGCUAUUAUUUUAUUGUUAUUGUUUGGAUAUUGUAUAAAAUUUAUUUUAUUGUUAAUUUUCUUAUUAUUUUAAAGGCAUUUGUUAAUUUUUUUAUUAUUUUAGAAGCAUUUGCUUGUUAAGUUGCAUUUAUCUUAGUGUUAUUUAAGUCUACAUAUUUUUCAAAAUUUAUUUUCAAUUUAUUGGGAAAUAUUUAUUUUGAUAUUUUUAGUAUUUUUAAUGUAUUAUAUAUAUUUAAAAAUAAUAAAAAUAAUAUAAAAAUUAAUACGGGCGGGCCGGGCUGGGCCCGGGUUUUAGUAUUUUUAUCCGGGUCAAGCUUGGGCAAAAUUUUAGACCCAUUUUUUGGGCUCGGCCCUGCCCGAGCCCAAUAAAUGGACAUGAUUUUUUAGUUGAGCCCGACUCGAGCCCGGCCCGACCCAUGAACACCUUUAGAACAAACCUAAAGGGCAACAAGAAUUGCCCUUCAUAUCGUUAAAUGGCAAAAUUAUUUUUAGAUCCUUUUAAAAAUUAUAAAAUUAUAAAUUAGUAUAAAAAUAAAAUUAUUUUAAAAGUUGUAGCAAAUAAUAAUUAUAUAUAUAUUGCAAAUCUAUUAACUAUGAAAUGACUUCACUUUUCUCCUUAAUUUCUUUGUUUUUAUGUUUUAAUCAACUUAUUUUCUAAUAAAUAUUUUUUAAAUAAUGAUAAUUAAUUUUAAAUAAAAAUAAUUAAUGAAUUAAUUUCAAAGUUAAUAUAUAAUUGAAUUAAAUAUAAAUUUAAAAUACAUAUUUGUACGGAAGCCAAAUAUAAUUUAAUUUUAUAAUACUUUAAUAUAAUUUUAAUGUCAAUUUUAGCCUUUGAUGUUUACAUCUUUUGUCAAUUUGGCUCUUAUUCUUUUUUGAGCUAAAUUUGACCAUUAACCUUCUAAAAAAAAUCAAAUUACUUUUAUUAAACAAAAAUGUUGACUAAAACAUUAAUUUUUAAUGAAGCUGGCAUGGCAACCUGACAGUCUACAUGUACUCCAUGUUGACAUAACAUUGUUUGUCUUAUAUGUCAUGUCAACAAAUAAUUUAAAAUAUAUAAUUCAAAAAAUUCAAAAUUCAAAAAAAAAUAUAAAAUGUUAAUAAAAAUUCAAAAAUAUUAGCAUAAAAUACAUGUGGAUUGUCAUGCAGGUUGCCAUGUUUAAAAUUUUAAUAUAUUAAUUAGCUUUUCUAUAAAAACACAAUAAUUUGAUUUUUUUUGAAAAGUUAAUGGUCAAAUUCGACUAUUUUUUAAAGGUUGAGGGCCAAUUUUAGCUUAAGAAAAAAUAAAGAUCAAAUUGACAAAAGAUAUAAAUAUUGAGGGCUAAAUUAACUUUAUUCCCAAUUUUAAAGUGCUUAAACUUUCAUAUUCUAUAAAUAAAAAUGGAGAAAACUGAAUAAAAUAAAUAAUAAAUACAUAAUAAAUAAUAACAAGGGUAUAAUUAUAUUCUUAUUAAAAUUUACUUUCAUAAAUAAAUAAAUGUUAAGAGGUUUUAUGAGAUACUCUUUAAAACCCUAAGGGGUUAUAGGUAAAUGUAUUUUACUCUAAAUAUCUUUUAAACAACAAACGAUUGAGUUUUUAGACUAUUUAGACAGGUCACUCUUUUGUUUUGAGUUGUUUUGAUCAUUAGAAAUCUGAAUUUAGUCUCAAUCACUCUGAACACCUAAAAUUCGUUUUAAAAUGUUUCUAAAUUGUUUUCAAUGACUUAAAAUUGAUUUUAAAUCAAUGUGAAUGUGCUUAUAUAAGUUGUUAAUUUUUUAUGUUCAUAAUGUUAAUCAAAAUGGAAAUUAGUUCAAGUUGCUCCGGCAACGAAUGUAGUGUCUCCUACUUGGACUCAACGAUCAAAUUAGGUAUGUGAAGUGCACAUUUAGUGGUAGGCAAUCGCAAAUUAAGAAAAUCUUUUAGCAAGGACUGAUAUUUAAUUAUAAUUUUGUACAGAUCCAAAUAUAAGUUUAUUAUGUAUCAAUUUAUAAAUUUAUUAUUUUUAAGAGAUUAAACAGAAACUUUUUUAUUUUUAGGUAGAUUAAAGUGAAAUUUUAUUAUAUAUUAAUUUAUAAUAUAUUUUAUUUAUUUAAAUUUUUGGGAUACCAAGAACUUGUUCCCCCUCAAAUUAGUAGGAGGAACAAAACCAUAGUCCAUAAUACAAAGCACAAUAAAAAUACACGAAAUAGCGAAUGUGAACAUUAUAAAGCACUAACUGGCAGGGGGAAAGUGAACAUUGUUGGUGAGAGGGUCUUUACAUCCACCGGCAACUCUGGUGGGGCAGCUUUGAACCACCGAAGGUGGCGUUUUCUUGGUCCUUGUGAGGCAGAAACGGAUCUCUCUCAGAUAAAGUGCGCCUCCUGAUCGUUGACUGCAUGAGAUUUGAGGAUAGGCUCCCACGUUCUUGUACACAUUUUGUAGCAAUGUGUUUAAAAGAUAGGGAGUGUUUGAUGGUUGAACUCCCAAAGCUGCAAUUUCAACAAUGAAAAAGAAAAACAAUAAUCAAUCACUUAAUUCUGUUAAUUUAUGGGGUUUAAUCAUUUUUUAUAAUAAAUUUUUGAAAUAAGAAAUUAUAUAAUACAAAUUUGUUUUUGGCAUAGACUAGAACAGGGUUAAGUAUAGUGUAAUUGAAUUUACCUCUUUUUAGAAUUAAUAGUAAUAAUAAUUACCUUUGAAAGGGUCGAAUUUGGUGGAAGUUGCAAGAUUUAAGGUAUCAUUAAAAUAACUCAAAGGAUCUUGAGGAUAAUCAGAGCAUAUCCCAUGGUUUUGCCAUUCAUGUCUCCAAAAAACAGAGUUUUCGACCCCUGCCCUAAGGUUUGGCCACCUUUGGUUUAGUCUGUCUUGAAUGGGUGUUAGUCUAGCCUGCCAUUUUUACAAUAAAACAAAAUUAACACAACACCACCAAUUCAUGUUAUCUAAGCUAAACACAUGAACAAUAAAAAUAAAGAGGUUACCACAGCAGCAUCGGGACCAACAGGAUUGGCAUUGCAUCUAUUAUUAGGCCCAUAAGCAGGAACUGCGGUGUCAUUGGCAAAUGUUGGCCAUAACCCAUGGAUGGUGAAGAAAGUAGGUAAUGGAGUCUUACAGUUGGAGAGUGGAUAACAUGCAGAAGUCGGCCAUAUCAGACUCAGUUUAUAAAAUGCAAAAUCGGAGCCCUGAGCUGACACCACCAAGCUUGCAAACACAACUAAAGCAUAACCUAUAAAUUGCUUAAUAC
rnacentral:lncRNA from 1 species